AGCAGUUGGAGCUGGUGCACAGGAAGGAUGAGGAAGACCAGGCUCUGGGGGCUGCUGUGGAUGUUCUUUGUCUCAGAACUCCUAGCUGCAACUAAAUUAACUGAGGAAAAGUAUGAACUGAAAGAGGGGCAGACCCUGGAUGUGAAAUGUGACUACAUGCUAGAGAAGUUUGCCAGCAGCCGGAAAGCUUGGCAGAUAAUAAGGGACGGAGAGAUGCCCCAGACCCUGGCAUGCACAGAGAGGCCUUCCCAUCCAGUCCAAGUGGGGAGGAUCAUACUAGAAGACUACCAUGAUCAUGGUUUACUGCACGUCCGAAUGACCAACCUUCAAGUGGAAGACUCUGGACUGUAUCAGUGUGUGAUCUACCAGCCUCCCAAGGAACCUCACGUGCUGUUCGAUCGCAUCCGCUUGGUGGUGACCAAGGGUGAGUGGCCUGGGAUUGGGGGGGGAGAAAGGCCAGGUGAGGAAAGGGGCAGUGGUGGUAGCAUCAGCAGAGCUGGGGUUCAGGAUUCCCAGCAGUCUGUCUUCCUCCCAGGACCUCCUUAUCUCUCAUCUAAGGUCCAG
rnacentral:sRNA from 1 species